rnacentral:pre_miRNA from 1 species
AAAAAGACAAACCCUGGUUUCCGUGUCCAACGUUUGACCGUUCGUUUUAUUUAAAAAAAUUAUAAAAAAAAUUAAAAAGAUAAGUCAUGUAUAAAGUAUUAAUCAUAUUUUAUCAUCUAACAACAAUGAAAAUACUAAUUAUAAAAAAAUUUCAUAUAAGACGGACAGUCAAACGUUGGCACGGGAACCCAU